CACGUAGGGUGCGAGCGUUGUCCGGAAUUAUUGGGCGUAAAGAGCUCGUAGGCGGUGUGUCGCGUCGGCCGUGAAAACCUGCAGCUUAACUGCGGGCUUGCGGUCGAUACGGGCAUCACUGGAGUUCGGCAGGGGAGACUGGAAUUCCUGGUGUAGCGGUGAAAUGCGCAGAUAUCAGGAGGAACACCGGUGGCGAAGGCGGGUCUCUGGGCCGAUACUGACGCUGAGGAGCGAAAGCGUGGGGAGCGAACAGG
rnacentral:rRNA from 1 species